GCGUCUCUAGUACUACGCUCACCAGUACUGCCCCACCUUUCCUCCUUUGCUGUAGUCUUCUUCCUCUGUUGUAGCUUCCUCCUCUGCUGCAACUUCCUCCUCUACUGUAGCUUAUUCCUCUACUACAGCAUUGCUAUAACUUUUUCAAAAUUUCCCCAACUAUACGAGGAAAUCUCUCUACCGUUGAUUUACUCUGUUGAGGGAAAUCGAAAAUCCUCUCCUAAUCCCUAUAAAUAGGAGAGGGACAUGUAUUGAAGCUAAAGCUUCUUAUCUUCAAUAAAGCUUCUUAAAUAAUUCUUCUGGUCUUUUAUUCCUUCCGUUACAUAUUUCUCCUUAGGUCAGGUAAGAGAAUUUAGGAUCACAAUUUUCUUGAUGAAGUGUUGAAGAUAUACCUAUUUGAAAGGAAGGUUUUCUGCUCCAAGCUUUCUUCUUCUCCAUUGCUUUGACUGAUAAGAUAUCCAGAACCUGGCAAAGUGCUGCAGCCGUAUUCUGCUUUUCCUAUUACACGAGUCUGAAACUUCGCUCAUGACAGAGACAUCAACAUAAAUGAAAGAAUUUUCCAUGAUUAGAUGGCAUCUAACUAUGUGAAUCUAAAUAAUACAACAAAUAAGUCACCCUGGAGCUACAAGAGCUAUAAACAGUAACCAUGGGGAAUCUGUGACCCCAAACCUUCUUGCACAGAGAGUUUUUGCCAGUGUUUUCGAGCAUCCUUCACUGCAAGGAUUCCGGGUAACAACAAGCUUAAGAAAGAUCUGAUAAAGCAGCUACUUCUUCCUACAAUUUUUCUUCCUUCAUUUGAGAUCCAACAGUCUCCUCUUCCUCUUAAGAUUGAAGGAAAAUUUUGCUCCAUGGAGUAGUUGCCUUGGUGUUCUUGAGUGCUGGACUCUUAACUAGUAUGGAAGAGAACUACAGGGAUGAUGAGGCUUUCCGUUCUUGAGAGCUGCAGCCCUAGAUUAUCAAGGCCACCGAGUUAAGCCUCUCCAUGCGACUCCAAAUGGCCGGCGACGCCGCUCGCGGGCGCAUCAUGGACUCGCCAACACGUUGAAGCUCUGCAACCAGAUGAACGAGUCGCCUGCACGGCGCAAAAAUGAGGGUGAGGGGGAUGACCCAGAUGCCCAGUUCCAGUAUCAACAUCGCACCACAGCCUCCUUUCUUCUUCACCUGCAGCCUGCAAACAUGCUCUGUCAUGUAAAUAUUGCUUAUAAGAAUUCUAUGAACCCAACGAGAUUUGAAUUAUUUGCUCCGAUCA